UUGGGGCCCAGGCUGGAGGAGGACCAGGCUCGGUUGAGGCUGCUUUGGGGCCCAGUCUGGAGGGGGGCCCAGUCUGGAGGGGGCCUGGCACAGUUGUGGCCUCCUUUGGGCCCAGUCUGGAGGGGGCCCAGGCAGAGUCAGGGCGUCGGGGCCCAGGCUGGAGGAGGACCAGGCUCAGUUGGGGCUGCUUUGGGGCCCAGGCUGGAGGAGGACCAGGCUCGGUUGAGGCUGCUUUGGAGCCCAGUCUGGAGGGGGGCCCAGCACAGUCGGGGCCUCGGGGCCCAGUCUGGAGGGGGCCUGGCACAGUUGUGGCCUCCUUUGGGCCCAGUCUGGAGGGGGCCCAGGCAGAGCCAGGGCGUCGGGGCCCAGGCUGGAGGAGGACCAGGCUCAGUUGGGGCUGCUUUGGGGCCCAGGAUGGAGGGGGGCCUGGCACAGCCAGAGCCUUGUGGCAGCAGUCCAACUCUGAAGUUCAACCUUUAACCAUAACCUAAAAUGGUAACCGUAGUGAAAGGUAGUGGCAGAUACAGCUGCUUUACUGUGUUUUAAUUUUCCCAAGAAUGGUGAAGGACUCAAGCUAGUAAAGAAAGACCCCUUUCUGAAGAGCAGGACUCAGAAGGUAUUACCGGAGAGCAGAUGUCCCAGUAGAGAUUCUUCCCCUUAGACAGCCAGCCCUUAAAUGAGGUUAGGGAGGGCUGGGACCAGGCUCCACCCCUUUUCUGCACAGGUGAAACGCUUCCAGCCGUGCUCCGCAGCAGACCAUGUUUUAACAAAGGUGAAAGCCUGUGAAACAAAAGAAUCCCUUCUUACUUGUUUCACGUUUGUGUUUGUUGACUGCAGUUCCAACCAGGUGGACUCUCAAUGUCUUGCAAGCGACACCUAGAAGCAGGUACAGGCAGGAGGUACAGCACCCUGCAACCUCCAGGGGCCUUUGUGCAAAUGUUCAUGUCCUAGAAGCACGUGGCGGAGCACGUCCUGGGAUCAAGGUGCCAUGGACUGGAAAAUGCAGCUCUGGACAUACAGGCUUGGCGGAGUUCCUGUAUGAAGACAAAACUCCCAAUACUCCAGAAACGUGGAGGCAGAAGAGCAGUGACAAGAUGGCAGCAGAGGGGCAAAAAGAAUGGCAUCUGACAUGGAAGUGCACAUGAAGAAGAG